UUGUGCCUUGUGUCUGCUGCCUUGCACUUGGAGAAGAAGGGGCAUCCGAAUCCAAGAAACCAAGCAAAGAACACCAUCAGCACAGAGUAUGCCUCUGGCUCACAGGGAUGAGAGGGGAGAUAAAAGAAAUAAAAAAUGAACCAAGCUUUUAAGCAGAAGUUCUAUAGCAUCUUUAAAGGAAGGAGGUAACAGCUAUGUGCAACAUGUCAUUCUCCUGUUGCAUCCUCUUUGCUCCCAUCAGAUCUCCUUUCUUUUAACACCGCAGUGCAUUAUUGCCCCUAUAAGCUAUCAAACAUGAACAACUGAUGGAAAUUUUUUCACCAAGCGGGUCAAUUUCUCUGGCACCUUGGAUAGUUUCCAUCCCUUCAACCAAGGCAGUAUCCCAAGGGCAGGUGAACCCUGAGGGGGACAGGACAAAGUCCUGCUGAGGGGUCUCUCCUCGCAUGGCGGAUCACAGUAAGGAGCUGCACAUGGCCAGACAGAAUGGCCAUGCUGGAGGGUCCUGCAGCACUCCCCACUCCCAGCACCUCUGCCCUGUUCCUCCCCUGUGCUGUGCAGCAUCCCUUGGCUCCCUCUGGGCAUUAGUGGAUCCUCCUCAGUGGGGUUCAUCUCACC